AGUUGAGAAAGCAAAAUACAUCUACAUUGUUGGCUUUUACCCUCACGGUGUCCCCUGACUCUAUUCAGAUUUUUGCUGAGCAUGCUGCUGCAAACAACAAGGUGGACUUAGACAUAUUUUCACACUAGGCUUCUCCAUGUGAGAUUAUAAUUUGAAGGUCAAUGAAUGCCUUGCAUGAAGCAAGGUGCAUGGGCCAUAUCCGAAGGUACUGUUUUAUUCUUGUUGCACUCUGGGCUAACUACUUCGGAUCGACUAUGUUUUCGUUCUCUGAACUGUGUGUCCCGUGUGUUUUACUUGGCUGGAAACCUAGGAGGAUGUGUGGCGGCUAACGCCAUUGUCAACAUCAACAAGCACCAUGUGGAGGCAUUCCGGUGGCUGCGAAUCGACUAAGACGUAAUUAGGCUAUACUGCAUCAAUUGCAUGGCCUUCUCAUCGAGUCAUACCACUCGCU